rnacentral:rRNA from 1 species
CAGUAACACGUGGUUAACCUACCCUCAGGACGGGGACAAACCCGGGAAACUGGGGCUAAUACCAGAUAGGCGAGGGCGCCUGGAAUGGUUCUUCACCCAAAGGGCUUUGGAAACAUGCUUUUCAAAGUCGCCUGGGGAUGGGGCCGCGUCCGAUCAGGUUGUUGGUGAGGUAAUGGCUCACCAAGCCUAUAACCGGUACGGGCCGUGAGAGCGGUAGCCCGGAGAUGGGCACUGAGACAAGGGCCCAGGCCCUACGGGGCGCAGCAGUCGCGAAAACUCCGCAAUGCACGAAAGUGUGACGGGGCUACCCCGAGUGCCGUCCGCUGAGGAUGGCUUUUCCUCGGUGUAACUAGCCGGGGGAAUAAGGAGAGGGCAAGACUGGUGUCAGCCGCCGCGGCAAUACCAGCUCUCCGAGUUGUAGGGAUGAUUAUUGGGCUUAAAGCGUCCGUAGCUGGCUUAGCAAGUCUCCUGUUAAAUUCAGCGACCUAAUCGUUGAG